rnacentral:ncRNA from 1 species
GAUGUAUUCUUAUUUAUUGCUUACUUCGUUGGCAGACGAGGUAGGCUCUUUUUU